CUUAUUUUUUCGUUUUUUUCACAACGGUUCGACAAUGUACGCAUAUAUUACAUAAAUAUACGUAUUUUGUUAUACCGUUCGAUAUUAUUUAGUAUGUCGCACUAGCACGCGUCUUUGCGCGAUAUCUUGCGGAGGCGGCCGAUUUGUUUACUAUUUUCUAACAAAAAAUAAUUUAAAAUUAUUUCAAUUCCGUUCGUCUUCGACUAGGAUCGAGGUUUCUUCUCACAUUUAUUUACCAACGUCUGCAGCUCGCACAACAUCGAUCAACUUUAAAUCUAACAUCAUCAGUCUGUGUUGCUUUUUAACACUGAUGCGCAGCCGGCCACAUCCAGCAGUCUUUACAUUAUUUUAACACACUUUUUACAACAAAGAAUAAUUAAUCUUUGUCGCGUUACUCUGGCAACCUACAAACGUUCAUCAAACUAUUCCGUAUAAUGAUUUACACGUGUAUGCGUUCGAGUUGCAUGAAACUUUACUAUUGCACGAAACCGAGGAGAUCGUGUGUGCUAAAGAUUACGGGAGGAAAAAGACAUCUCUUAAAGACGUUCGAUCGUUAUUGUUACGUUAUGUACUCACAUACGAUUCGUUCGUUCGUAACCAUAGCAUAUUUCAAUCGUACGUCUACGUGAGAAUCACUAUAUAUUAGUUCGACAGUUCGAUGAACGGACAAACGCACCGGUGUUGGUAAAAACUAUGAACAAGUGCUCGCGCUCACCUUUAAUAUUAUACUGUUUAUACGUACUACGUUUCACUCAAACAACUGACAUUUGUGUGAAUGCAAUUCUAACGUCUGCGAAUUAAUAACCUUAUACGAACAAUAAAUAUUAUUCUACACUUUUCCCAUGCCCAAGCUGAUUCGAUUUUUUUUCCGACCAACUAAUGUUAUGUACAUGGUCCAAACUCACAAGAACUCUGAACUACAUUCCGUUUGAACGUUCAUUACACGCAAAUACACGGUACAUAAUGCAUUGUGGAAUCGACGAACUGAAUAGAUGAAUAUGCACUGUUCAUACCGACUCUUCAGUUUCAGAUGAACGUAAAUGUCGAUCGUUUUAACGACGAUAAAUGCACAUUUUUCCAACCGGAUUUCGCUGGUUGAUAAACGUCAAUAUACUGUUCGCGAGGGCCUAUUUUUUAAUGUCGUCAAGUAUUUCGAACCCCACCGAACCCGUUUCUACGUCAGGGAAAUUCUAUUCACUUGUCCGAGCGGCGUUCGACGGAUCGGGUCCGUCGCAGCAGCGGAUCAACAGGUAUAACAAGCGGUCGUAACCGAUUGAAAGUCGGUGUUUUCGACCUGCGUUGAAGGAAUGUCUCCAACGUUGGAAGCGAAUCGCAAUUAGCAUUUGGUAUACGGCUAAUUGUACAAUGUAAAUGCACAUCAGUUAUAAGGACUUAAAAAAUAUCGAUUUUAAUCAUAUUCCUAUAUUUAUAACAUAAUUUUUAUUUUUAACUUUCUUUUCCAGCAAAAUGUUUAAGUUAAAUUAAGUUGUUAAGUGUGUACAAAUUAACAUACAGAUAUACAGUGGAUUCCAGUGCUGUUCCUGAGAUCGUAUCAUGCGCAGCCGACAACAAUAGUUUAAUGAUCCAAAAACUCAAAGCGUCCCAUCUUUGAGUUUUCGUUUUCGACGCGGUUGUUAUUUUCAACAAUUUUCUUGCGUACAUGUAGGCAUUGGCGUCAUUUGGAGAAGGGGGCAAAUAAUGCUUUUGCCACAGUCUAUAGUUUGACUAUUCCGAAGUCGACACAUCGUCAAGACAUAAAUACGUCUUUUACAAAGUCAUUGACGUGUUGUAAAUCGGAAAAAUGAUACGUGUACAGUAUACACGGGUACAUAUGUACAAAGUAUAAAUCAUUAUAUUUUUGGACUGGUUUGAAGUUCCCUUCCCUCCCGCCCACGUUAGUCAGUACUUCGAUAAAAUUAGCUGCUGAGUCGGAAAUUUAAUAAGAGCAUGAUGCAGACUGCUCUACACUAGAAGAAACUGAAAUGACACUUAUUACGCGUACAGGUGCUACGCGAACGUAUAACAUUUGACCGUCUCAUUCGGUUCGGUGAUGAUAUUUUAUUCGAGUUUUGGCUUCGAACAAAAAGGAUAGAAAUAAAUUUAAUUGUUUUAAUCGUUGUAAGAUGUACAUCGAAGCCAAAACCAAGAUAUUAAUAUGUAAUUUUAAUGUCUUACGUAGGUAUACGGCGGCAGAGAUGACGUGACUACCUAUUAUUUUGACAUCGUCCUGUUAAAUAUUGACGUUAGCGUACGAUUUCUGCAAAAGUUCGAGUUCACACUACCGGAACCGAAAUCAAUCACUAUUAAACCGUUUACAAUUUCACUGUUUCGUAUGGUUCCUGAAGGAUAUUGCCGUCAUCCUCGCCGGUGGAUUGUAAAUAAUGUACGGAACGAGCAUUAUUAUUUCGUAUCUCCCGUAGCCAUAAGUUGCGCAAGGAAUAGCGCUAAACAUUAAGGACAUAAAUCAUAGAUCGUGACAGGCGAACAAGAAUUUUCGGCUCAAACGUUUUUCUAUAGGAAUCGAGUAGAUCAAUUUCGUUGCAAGAAAAAUAAAAAAUAAAACCAGAUGACGAGCACACACUACAUAUGCACUUGUAAACUUAUAUAUGUGUAUGUUUGAUCUUAUAUAUUUGUGUAUGGCAUUAUGUACAACCAUGUACCGUAUACAUAUUUGAACAUUAUUCAUAUAUUCCUAGGCCGUGAAUAAUACAUACUCUAAAUACGAUCCAUAGUUUUGUAUUCAUACACGAUCAUGUAAGAGAUAAAGACGUCGAUGUUUGUACCACUAAAUCUUCACAUGUGAUAAUCCACAUAGGCGAUAAUCCACAUAGGCGAUAAUUAUUAUUGUUUAUACAACUAUAGUUUUAUAUUAAAAAGCAGAGCUCUCUCGACAUUUUCAUUUAGGGUAGGGGUUGAAAACCUGAAACGGGUAUGUGGACUAUAUAAGGUAGGAUUUAGUGAUCACUAGGGCAUGAAUAUUCUUACAUUUGUAACUUUUUUCUACUGCACCAAUUUAUUGCUAAGUAAUUUUUAAAUUCGUUGUGAGUCAGUUAUUUAAUUUAAAUUUAAAUAUUUCAAGUGCAAU
rnacentral:lncRNA from 1 species